CCUCCACACAGGAGACCCACUGAAGACGAGACAGAGGACAGAUCUGAGAGGACCACAGGAGACCGAUUAAUAUCCUAAAAUGCAUCGUGGGUUCCUGUUCUUCCUGUCUGUGGCGUUGUGGGUGGAGCUUGUAGCCGGUGCGGCGUUACGGAUGGACACCGGCAUGCAGAGCAGCAUCGAGUCUCUACAGGCGGCGCUGCAGAGCUGCAGCGACAUCAUCAACAACUCGGACUACCUGAGAGAUGUGUCGGCCCCGCCCUGCACAGAGACCGCCGCUAACAUGGAACAG